UCAACUGGUUCCAUCCCGACUUGACUUCCUUUCAUAUCUAGCCUAGAAGGCACUGUCCAUUCAACAUUCUCUUACCAAUGCUCUCAGCCUGCUUGCUGGAGGCUUAUUUUCACCGCACCUGUAAAUCUCAAACCCUGAACUAAUCCAACCACCCAUCUUCUUCCCGUGUCUCAUGCAGCCAAAUGUUUUCCAAAAUGAUAAACUAUUACCUUUCUGCUUUUACAUCAGCCCAAACAUACCAAAUGUAUACUACUUGGCAUUCAGCAGGCAUUUAAUUAAUACCUAUAACUUACUCUUCUAAAAUUAUUUCUAAAUACCCCAUAUCAGGUCAAAUUUCUCUACUUAAUGCUGACACCAUGCUUUGUGGAUUCUCAUCAGUUUGUGCCUGUCAGUCUGUUGAAAUACUCCUCUUUCUUCAAUAGGGAUCAACAGCAAAAUUCUGAGCUAUAUAGAGGCACCAUGUCUGUCUUCUUGGCACUGUAGGCCCAGCACUGAGUAGAGGCCUGGCACAGAGACGCUUGCAUUGGCGGGGGAGAAGCGGCAGGGCGAGGAGGCAGCCCGCGGGGCCAGUUCUCCGGACAUCCCCAAGACCUUGAAGGGACACUGGGUCAGAGGCAAGGUUCGCUUCCUUUCACCCGCUGCUACCGCCUGCCCUCCGAUUGGCUCCUCCGGGACACACGAACAAUACUAGACGCCGAUUGGCCCGGCUCCUGCCCGGGCAGCCGAGCCCGCAGACUCCGAAGGGGACUGACAAGGGCCUGGUGGAGGGCAGUCCAGGGACCGAGGCAGUUUAUAGGUCUCCAGAUCAAGAAGAGACGCAUCUGGACCUGAUGUGAAGACUAUGGUGAGAUCCUGAACUUUGAAACUGUUAUGAUUGGAUGACAUCCUUAACUUAUCCUCCGUGCAAUUUUCACCUCUUCAAUUUCAGCUUCCUGGUCUUCAAUUUUACUAUCAAAGAAGCAUGAACAAAAGAAUUUCAGCAAUAUCAGAAAAGUCACUAUUGAAGUAAAUGUAUAAAGUAACCCUUGAAAAAAGUAAAAUGCCUCUAUCUUAAUAAAAAUAUUCUACAGCUGACCACACCAAUGCAUUUACAAAUUUGAUAAACUGGUGCCUCCUGAGAUGCUUUUCUAAGUAUCUUCUUAAGGGGGAUGCCAAAAGUGGCAAUGUGACCACUCACAUAAGCACAUUUAAGUCUACACCCCAUGACAACAACUUCUCAAUACAUGCAUGACAAAUUACUUGAAAAAAUAAAGGAAAGGAAAAAGGAAGACAAUAUUCUAAGACAGAAAAUAUUACUAAGUCUUAGCAAAAACCUCAAAUAAAAUUUAAAAGUAUG